UGGUAUGAUUUGAGUGAUGUCAAAAAAGCCUGCCUACCCAAAAUAUCAUCUGAACUAGCCACUAAGUCUGAAAUUUCCAACCUUCUGUCACUUAAGUGUUAAGGCAUUGCUGUCCAAGAAUGGCACCAUAUUAGUUAACUAAUAUAUAAGCAAUGGUAAUCUUAUUUCACCAACCCAUUUCUAUCUAUUUUCAGUUGGCUCAGAAGGAUAUAAUUUGAUGGAAGAAAGAGAUGAGUCUGAAUUUUUAAUCAGGUGUCCCCUAUUACUAGCCCCACCUGGGAUCACUGAUUCCCUAAAAGAAGAAGGAGAUAGGUCUUAAAAGGUCAAACAAAUGGUUAAAAAAAAAUGGAGACAGGAAUGCCAUAUGCUCCACAAAAUUGCCUGUGGAUCAGACUGAAAGAAGAGGACCUUAACAUCAUGGAGGUGAUUCCAUGACAUGCAAGUAAAUUGGAUUUAAGUUCUGGGCAACGUCACCUGCUUCACUUUCCCCUCCACAGCUAUCUGAAUCUAACGGUGAAGAAAUUGUGGCCAAAAAAAAAAAAAAAAAAAAAGUUGACAACACCCAUGGCCUUCCCACUGGACCAUCUAGCUACCUGAAUAUUUUUGUCUCUAUUAUACCAAUGUGGAUGCUGAGGCUGAGACAUGAAAAGAACUGCCUCAGAUAUACCAAGCUAGAAAAGUGGAUUUCAAACACUCAUCUUCUGAUCCAAAGCCAGAGCUUUCUGGGAACCAAACCCGCUCCGUGUAACAUCUGUCCUUCCUACUUCCCCACGUGGUCGUAAGGCUUCAGUGAGAGAAUGUGUGUGGAAGCACUGAAGCCCUCUGUAGUAUUAUUAUCAUUACUAUUAAUAGUAGUAUGGCCAGAGGGGAUGAGUCUUAUGUACUUGACUCUCAACAAAUGCUUGUUGAUGAUGAAGUCAUCUAUCUUAAUAGAAGAUGCAUUAAAAAGGGGGGGCUACACCACAAGCAAGAUGCCAUGAAGAAAUAAAUCAUAAAUGCAUUGUCCGUUUAUGGGAUUGGAAUCCGGGCUGCCCAGGACAGUGUGACAUGUGUGGGGUGAGGGAGCUGUGACCUACCAUUUUUGUUCCCAGGUUUGAUUUCCAUGAUUUGGUGAAAUUCCCCUCCCUUAUUUCCUGUUUUUACUACAGGGCUGAGUGGAUGAAUGUUUUUUUCCCCCCCUGCAGGUGUUAGUAACUUCUUUAUCCUUCCGGGUAUUCUCACUGGUUGCUGCCUUUCAUCUGAGGGAUUUGUCCUGGCUUGAGUGACAGCAGAAAGAAAUGAAAAGCUUCCUGUGGUGAGGGCCACACCCUCUUUAGCAGCCAUACUUGUGGGGAGAGCAGAGGAUGCUGGUGAUUUCUCCUGGAAAUAAACCUGGCAUUCCCGUAUCUAAAUCAGAGCUACUCUUUUAUCACUUUAUUCUUUAAAAACUUACCUAUUAUUCCAUAAAAACUCUCAUUCCCCAGUUUUAGAAGUAUUCCUGGUUUAACUAUAUUUCCUGAAAUAUAUAUAACCUGGGAUGGAAAAUGAUCAAAUAAAAAAAAAAAACUUUUAUAAAAGAGCAUAUAAGUAUGAGCCUGAGUACUAUAUUUGUACACCAAAGCCUUUAAAUUCUACUGCAAGCAUCCAUAGUGUUCCUGAACAAAGUCUUAAGAGUAAAAUAUUUUAAACUAUAAACUUGGACUUUUAAAAAUGACAAUGUUUCUUUCUGUUUUUAACCCAUCAGUUGAUAAUAUGACAAUUCAGGUGACUGAUUUUAUGACUUUGAAUUUCCUAUUACUAUUUUCUUUUCUUGGCAAAUAUUGUCGCUGUUGGAGGGGUGACAGCUCACAUUCACUGUCACUGCUAGCUUCCCAAGCAUGCUUGGAUUGCUGCUUUCAAGGAUUCCCUAGGGAUUGCUAUGAGAUGGAAUUUUUCAGCCUCAAAUGAAGUUUCUUUAGUAACCACAGGAAAAAAAAAAACUCUCUAAAGUUUCCCAAACUCCUAAGUUUCCAAAUUUUCCAUGUCACUGCUAAGAUCUUUUAACUCUUUUGGAAGUUCACUAUCAGGAAACUUUUGUUAUGAAAAAUGAAAAGGCCCUUGUUCCCUCCCCUAAUUUCUCUCCUCAGAUCAUAGGCACCAAAUACCAUAUAAAGAGAGAAAGAGGGAUGCAGUAAAUCUAUGGCUCAGAUGGGUGAAGGCAAGUCACACCCACUGCCUCUUAUCUGGAUCAUGUAUGUAUAAUGAGGUGUAUAAAAUAAAUCUUGCAAAUCACCUAUUUCCCAUGAUGUUUCUUAAAUUUCUAACUUAAAAUAUGUUUUGUUCUUGUCAAAGUAUGGCAGAAUGGAAAGUAGACUUAUAGCUUAUGCUUACUUUAGUACCCCAAUUAACUCUGGUGGAUCUGUGAUCUUAUCAUUGUGGGCACUUACUCCAACAAUUCAUAUUGCAACCCAUCUCUGCCAGGCCAUCCAGUGCAGUGAUAAUCCAUUCCUUCCCACAAAUCUGUUCUCCUGACAUCUCACUAACACAAGUGGAGCAGAGACAAGCUAUCACUCAGUGGUUACUUUCAUUAUGUGACCUGGCUAUUCCAAUUUUUAACACCCCACCUCCCCAGCAUAUAUUUCUCUGAGUACCUUUAUACCUGUAGCAUGAAAGGCUGCUUAUUUUUAACAUUAGUCCAA